CAGGCCCAUUUGAGCGGAAGGCUUCUUGACAGUGCCUUGAGACAGGCAUUAACUCAGGCGUGGGUGUAAGGGUAGCAUUUGGAGGCCAGUUCUAGACAACAUGAGUCGAACACCAGGCCUGAGGGAUACAUUUAGUUCCAUAAACACAGAUGAAAGUUUUAGAGCCAAGAUGAAGAACAGGCUUAGGAGGGGAAGACAAGUUGGUGAUACAGUUGAGACGCUAGUCCUUGAACUGAAUGAGUAUGAUGAAUCCAUUCACAUAUUGGAGGUUGUCCAAGUGGCCUGGGCUGGGCUGGCUUCUUAGCACUGGGGCAGAAUAAAAAGUGCAUUCUACAGUCAGUUUCCACAGGUCCCUGUGGCCAGCAGGGAGGGACACAUGGACCACAGAGGCCAGUGACCUAAUCCUUGUGACUCUCUGUUCUCUUCUGUGUUUAUUCUGUGGGACUUAAGGCAUAGACAACUCCAGGUCAUAACUUGUAUUUGUAGCUGUUUGCUGUUGUGGUUUGCUAAGCAGCUGAGCAGAUGGAAGGACUGAGCUUUUACUCUUUUUGAGGAUGUCAGAUCUGGCCUGUCUUAACUUUUGCUCUGUGCAUCUUCUGGUUCCUGAGUCAGUUUGGACCCAGGCUGAUCAUUAAUCAGGAGGCCAACCUCCACCAACUGAAGGAGCUUGACUUGGUGGCCUCUAAGGAGUUCCAGCUCUGGUACUUUAAAAUUGAAUCCAGCAAAUUAACUGAAGGAGGCUGCAUUCUCUCUUUCAGAUUUGGCUGAUUUGCUCAAUGCCUGGCUUGCUGGGUAGCUGACGUCCUGUGAUCCUCAGACACAGGCUGCAGUAAGAAAGCAAUGAGGGACUUAAGCUGCUUUAGAAGUGAUUUACAAGGCUCACAAGAUACCGCUGGCUUUGCUCCAUCCCUUUGGCAAGACAGCACACCCAGAGCUGGAGUAUGCUGCUCAUUUGGGAAGGGGAGAUGUCCUGGGCCCAGGGUUUGGAAAUGUCUUCUUGGACAAGCUUAAGCCGGUCUGUUGCCACUGGAGAAGAAAUGUAUUCUUGGGUGCCCCAGGCAAAAGAUCAGAUAUCAAAUCAACUGAAGCACUCAGAAGGAAAAACAAACAGGAGUGCAUUUCCAGAUGUGGAGAGAGGAUUGCUUGGGACUCUUCGCAGGUCUUGAGAUUCCAUGUAGGCUGUGAACACUAAGGAGUGUGUGGAGCUUGUGUCUGAACUUCACCUCUCUAAUGAUGACCAUCCCUGAAAUGAAAAGAAAACCGGUGCUAAAUGGAAAUACCUUCUUUCUUUCCCUCCCACAGCUCAUGCAUAUAUCUUCUACACUCAACGAGCAUCUCUAGAGGAGGUGCCAGCUCUCUCAACAAGUAAUUCCUUUUGGCCCCAUCACAGAAGGGAAGUACAAUCAGCAGCAAUGAAGCUUCUUUAUUCCUUGCUAAUUUAGUGCCAGGACACAUGAUAUGCACAGCUUUGUGAGUGGGAGAGUUUCAAAGCAGGAAGCUUGGAUCUGACUUAGGGAGGCUGGUUAUCCACUUAUGAUACUUGACUUAGCAGAAACCAGUCCGCGUGAAAGCUGUUGUGGGGCCCCCUGCUGGCAUUGUGACAUGGAGACACUUCAUCCUCAGUGAACCUACAGUUCUCUCUGGGAAGCUUUAAGUUCAACAGGGCUGUGGACUUGAAGAGGUUCUUGCUGUAGGCUAGGAAAGUAGAUUGUAGUACUACUACUACUGCCAGUACUACCUUUUCUACUGUUUUUGGGUUUCGUGGGCCACUUUGAAACUCUAACCACAGUAUUUUCAACCUUGCAAUGGUAAAAUGCAUUGUAAAUAAAAAUUUUAACUUAAAGAAUAC
rnacentral:lncRNA from 1 species